GGAGUAGUGGUCGCAGCUGGAAGCUGUCGCGUCGCCGGUGGUUGGAUGUGAGGAAGAAGAAGAAGAGCACGAGAAUUUGAAAUGAAGAAGAAACCGUUCAGUUCAUGUUUUAAUUAGGGCUUUUUUUCUUUUCUUUUUUUAAUUGUUAAUGCAAAUUUCAGUUUUUUUAAUUGUUAAGUCAAAUUCCAGAUUUUUAUUUUGUUUUAUUUUAUAUUUUGUAAGUUAAGAUUUAUUUUAGUUUUCUUUUAUUUUUAUUUAGUUAUAAGUAAGGGUUGUUUUGUCUUUUCAAUAGCUUUUGACCCCUAAAGUCAUGUAUUGUAAGUGGUGGCUAUAUAAGUCCUAAACUAUGUCAUUUGGGUUACUUGUGUCUUUCUCCCUUCUAAUUAUAUGUUGUUUUAAGGUAUAUAUUAGUUUGUUAAAAUAAAUGACGUUUUGGUUUCUUUUGCCAAAUCAUACAUCAUCAUUUAAUUCAAUGCAUGGAAGAAG
rnacentral:lncRNA from 1 species